GAUUGUAUCAAUCGUUGCUUGGGCAAGUGCGAAAUCAAAAUUCUUCUGUGAGUUAGCGCGUGCACAUGCCUACGUUCCUGUCUGUGGCACUAAUGGACAGACAUAUGACAACAAAUGCUUUUAUCUGCGUAUAGAACUGGUCAUCUAUCACGGAUUUCAAGUUGAAUAUCUCUUCCUGCAGCAUUCUGUUUGAUUUUAUGAAAUUGUUUCCGUUGUCACUGUUCAUGUGACCUGGAAUUCCGCGACGAGCUGAGAGUCGACAGAAAGGUGCAAGAAAGGCAGACGCGGAUUAAAGUUGAACGCUAACGAAACGAAAAUAUAGUUUCUGAGGACAUCGCUUCACUUCGAGCGCUCCCACGUUCCUGGCACAACUAGCUGCACAAUCACGGGAAUACAUUCCAAGAGAUAAAUCAAGACGUCCCUCGGGAGGACUGGAACAACUUCCUACUUUAAACAAUGAUUUCAAAGAAUGUAAAAGUGUUUAUAUAGUCACAGAGUAGAGAUGGAUUUACGUAUUAAAUAUAGUGAAGGAAUAUAUUGAAAAAUAAUUAAUAUAUAGUCCCAAAUAUAACAUAUGGCCAUUAUUAUUGAGAAUCCUGUGACUUAAGUACAUCUCUUUUAAAUAAAACAAAUAAUUGAAUGAUUUA